rnacentral:rRNA from 1 species
CAAUAGCGUAUAUUAAAGUUGUUGCGGCUAAAAAGCUCGUAGUUGGAUCUCUGUUAGGGACAUCAGGUCCGUACUAUGUACGAGUAUCUUGUUUGGCCUUGGCAUCCGCUCUGCAAACGUGUCUGCGCUUGAUUGCGUGGCGCGGAGGUAGGGCCUUUUACUUUGAGGAAAUUAGAGUGUUCACGGCAGGCAUACGCCUUGAAUAUAUUAGCAUGGAAUAAUAAUAUAGGAUCUUGGUUCUAUUUUGUUGGUUUCUAGGGCUAAGAUAAUGAUUAAUAGGGACAAUUGGGGGCAUUCGUAUUAAGCCGUCAGAGGUGGAAUUCUUGGAUUGGCUUACGACGAACUACUGCGAAAGCAUUUGCCAAGGAUGUUUUCAUUGAUCAAGAACGAAAGUAAGGGGAUCGAAGACGAUUAGAUACCAU